rnacentral:rRNA from 1 species
GAUGAACGCUGGCGGCGUGCCUAAUACAUGCAAGUCGAGCGAACAGACGAGGAGCUUGCUCCUCUGACGUUAGCGGCGGACGGGUGAGUAACACGUGGAUAACCUACCUAUAAGACUGGGAUAACUUCGGGAAACCGGAGCUAAUACCGGAUAACAUGUUGAACCGCAUGGUUCAACAGUGAAAAACGGUCUUGCUGUCACUUAUAGAUGGAUCCGCGCCGCAUUAGCUAGUUGGUAAGGUAACGGCUUACCAAGGCAACGAUGCGUAGCCGACCUGAGAGGGUGAUCGGCCACACUGGAACUGAGACACGGUCCAGACUCCUACGGGGGGCAGCAGUAGGGAAUCUUCCGCAAUGGGCGAAAGCCUGACGGAGCAACGCCGCGUGAGUGAAGAAGGUCUUCGGAUCGUAAAACUCUGUUAUUAGGGAAGAACAAAUGUGUAAGUAACUAUGCACGUCUUGACGGUACCUAAUCAGAAAGCCACGGCUAACUACGUG